rnacentral:rRNA from 1 species
GUGAGAUGUGGGUAGUCCGCACGAGCGCAACCUCACUUUUAGUUGCCAUCAUUAAGUUGGGCACUCUGAAAGAACUGCCAGUGAUAAGCUGGAGGAAGGUGGGGAUGACGUCAAGUCCUCAUGGCCCUUACGUGUUGGGCUACACACGUGCUACAAUGGCAUCUACAACAGGAAGCAAAACGGCAACGUUAAGCAAAUCCCGAAAAGAUGCCUCAGUUCGGAUUGCACUCUGCAACUCGAGUGCAUGAAGCUGGAAUUACUAGUAAUCGUGGAUCAGCGUGCCACGGUGAAUGCGUUCCCGGGUCUUGUACACACCGCCCGUCACACCAUGGGAGUUGGUUCUACCUUAAGGCAAGGUUUUAAACCCUUGACCACGGUAUAGUCAGCGACUGGGGUGAAGUCGUAACAAGGUAGCCGUAGGGGAACCUGCGGCUGGAUUACCUCCUUUCU